CUUGGACAGUUUCAGGGGAGCUUGGCAUGUCACAGGUAUUUCACGCACAGCUCAAACACUCCUCUGGGACUCGUGGGCUCCAGGAACCAGACGAACCUACCUCUCCGCUUGGCGGAGUUGGGUUAGCUGGUGUCUGGAGAGGGACCUCGAUCCCGUUUCAACACCUCACUCUCCCAUUUCAAACUUCUUAUCAUCUCUCUUC